AUCUCGCUGAUGAGUCACAAAUAGGACGAAAUGCGCGUCCUGGAU
rnacentral:hammerhead_ribozyme from 1 species